GAUCCUUGGCUCAGGAUGAACGCUUGCUACAGGCUUAACACAUGCAAGUCGAGGGGCAGCAUGUUGGUUGCUUGCAACCGAUGAUGGCGACCGGCGCACGGGUGAGUAACGCGUAUCCAACCUACCCUUGUCCAUCGGAUAACCCGUCGAAAGGCGGCCUAACACGAUAUGCGGUUCACAGCAGGCAUCUAACGUGAACGAAAUGUGAAGGAGAAGGAUGGGGAUGCGU
rnacentral:rRNA from 1 species